AAGCUGCCGCGGGCUCCUGUGCUCUCCGGUGCCAGAGGCUAUGGCUGGGAGGCAGGACAGGUUUGCCGCCGCGCCUCCCGAAGCCGCUGCGCCCUCUAAUCGUCCACUGAGGAGAGAAUCCGGAAGGUCCUGCGGUAGCUCGGGGUAGUCUCCCUGGAGGGGAAGCUGUGGGAGAGGAACAGCAGGUCCCGGCUCUUUUGUUCGACGGCCAGUUCAAACUCCCAGAGUUAGGCCGUUCCCUCAGCGGAGGGGAGACGCUCUGCUGCAGGUCGGGAGCUCGCAGGUACGACUGGAAACUACGUCCGGCGGGAGCCCGGGCUUGCUUGCCGCGUUCCUCAUUCGCGUCACCGGGUCUCCUCGGCGAAUCGAAUUAACGGCGCGGGUGGCAGCUGCGUAGUCGGGGAGCCACAACCUGCUUUCCACGCUUGGGAAUACUGGUACCUACUUCGCGCUUAGCUGUUUCUCCUUUGCCGCGCCGUGCUACACAGUACAUCUUAAUAGUCUGUUACCUCUUUUUACUGUCCGGGUGUAAUGGACUAACGAGCCAGGCCCUUUACCAUGUUGCUGGUUGGGACCUGGAAGUUGGCGAACUCUAAUAAAUUUUGAAGUGCU